rnacentral:rRNA from 1 species
GAGUUUGAUCUGGCUCAGGACGAACGCUGGCGGCGUGCUUAACACAUGCAAGUCGAACGGAGUCUAAAAAUUACCACUGAGAUCUUAGUCAGUGGGCGAGCAGCGUCAUGACACGAAGUGGCCAUCACGCGUUAAAAAAGUGCCAACAUAGGGCUGAGGCCUGAGUGGUGAUUUUUAGACUGAGUGGCAAACGGGUGAGUAACACGUAGGCAACCUGCCGACAGGAUGGGGACAACAUUCCGAAAGGAAUGCUAAUACCGAAUGGAGUCCGGAGAUGGCAUCAUAUCCGGAUAAAAGAUGGCCUCUUAGCAAUGCUAUCGCCUGUCGAUGGGCCUGCGUCUGAUUAGCCAGUUGGCGGGGUAACGGCCCACCAAAGCGACGAUCAGUAGCCGGUCUGAGAGGAUGAACGGCCACAUUGGGACUGAGACACGGCCCAGACUCCUACGGGAGGCAGCAGUGGGGAAUCUUCCACAAUGGGCGAAAGCCUGAUGGAGCAACGCCGCGUGAGUGAAGAAGGUCUUCGGAUCGUAAAGCUCUGUUGCACGGGACGAAAACCGAGCUUGAGAAUAUUGAGUUUGGGUGACGGUACCGAGCGAGGAAGCCACGGCUAA